rnacentral:piRNA from 1 species
UACUGUGUGGAAGGGGGAUGAAUUCAUU